GAUGAACGCUGGCGGCGUGCCUAAUACAUGCAAGUCGAGCGAACGGACGAGAAGCUUGCUUCUCUGAUGUUAGCGGCGGACGGGUGAGUAACACGUGGAUAACCUACCUAUAAGACUGGGAUAACUUCGGGAAACCGUAGCUAAUACCGGAUAAUAUUUUGAACCGCAUGGUUCAAAAGUGAAAGACGGUCUUGCUGUCACUUAUAGAUGGAUCCGCGCUGCAUUAGCUAGUUGGUAAGGUAACGGCUUACCAAGGCAACGAUGCCUAGCCGACCUGAGAGGGUGAUCGGCCACACGGGAACUGAGACACGGUCCAGACUCCUACGGGAGGCAGCAGUAGGGAAUCUUCCGCAAUGGGCGAAAGCCUGACGGAGCAACGCCGCGUGAGUGAUGAAGGUCUUCGGAUCGUAAAACUCUGUUAUUAGGGAAGAACAUAUGUGGAAGUAACUGUGCACAUCUUGACGGUACCUAAUCAGAAAGCCACGGCUAACUACGUG
rnacentral:rRNA from 1 species